AGACAGGCCAGCUAUAACCACCGGGCAGACAGACGGAGCCUGUCCCAUCCCUGACCAAGAUCUCUGGACCCUAAUGGGGCUCACUCUGGCACAGAGAGAGGGACCUUGGGGAGCUGCUUUGGGAGCAGAAGUGGCAGAGAAGUCAGCUGGCCAGGCUCUGAGAUGUGCCCCGUCUUCCGCAGUUGACUGCAGGGCCGAUGCGGUUUGACUCCGUGGGGCCAGGGCUUUGCAGGUGGAGGCAGAGAUUUAAUGGCUGCUGCUGCUGCUGCUGAGUUGUGAGUGAGGAUUUUUCGGGAAUGUAUGUGAAGGAGGCAUCUCUAUACAGCUAAAUUCCUUUAUUAACGUAAUGAGUUUGGCUGCUUUCCUGGAAAUGCAAGUGCCAUUUGGCACCAUCGCUGCUGCUUCAGAAAGGGUGUCAUUAAACUAAGAAUCUGUAGGAAUGCACCAUAGCGAUAAACGAAGCUGCCUGGAGAUUACACAGCAUCACGCAGACUUCACAAGGACCUUCAGAAGGGAGAAUGCUUCCACACUGAGGUGAAUUAAAGGAGAAGCUGGCAUCCUUUAUUGCAGAGUUGACCAUAUACCUGGCCCAAGACCUGGAAAAAUUGAAGGAGGAGACAUAGAAGGAACUGGAGGACGUACGGCUCAGGUGUUCCCCAUACCAGCUCCCCACCAGAAAGGAUCAACAGCCCUCUCUCCAGCGUCUGAAGCUCAUAUGAGCUUACUGUGUGGACCCACUCAGAACCCCAGAGUUGGAAUAAAGAUUAUUUUAAACUGAAGAUAUUUGAGGUUCAACAGAUGCAGAGAAAAGCCUCCUCAGAGCUUCCCUUGUCUGACUAAAAGCAGCAACUUCUGAACCCCAAUCACAGAACCUAAAAGUAUAGAGGAAAAGUUUACCUCCCCUACAUUAUUGAUCUUCUGCCUCCACCUGUAGAGUCUCAGCUUCUAACCCAGAGAUACAGAUGCAGAACAUGCAGUUUUGUUAGGUAUUUGAUGAAUUUGAAAGAGAUACUUUAUUCCUCUUCGAAAGCCUGUUCUGAGUGCUACUGAACUCUCAGUUCAUCCGUGUGCACCACCAGCUGUGAGGGCAGAAUGUCUGCAUGGCCUCGGCCACCAAGUGAGCAGACACGUGGGUUGGAGGGACCAGAGAUGCACAGAGAAGUUCGAGGAUUCCCCCAGAGUUACCGAACCAGCACUGGAGCCAGGCGUGAGCAUCAGUAGAGAUCCUGUGCAAUCUUAAGCAUCAUCCCAGCUGGAGAUGAAAAAGCCAGUUUAAAAAUCUAUGUGGACAUGUAAAGCAUCCAGAUGAGUGAGACAGCAUGGAACAGCCUCCCCGGGAUGUCUGGCGGCUCCUACUUGGUUCCACUGGAAAGAAAAUAAGAGGUCAUUAUUCACAAACAAAGUAGGAGAACGUGUGUCUUUGAAAGAUGUUGGGCGCUCUGGAACCUGGCCUUGCCUACAAAUGACGUUCUGGUGGAAAGGCUGAUUUUUGUGUCAUUAAUUCAAGGGAAAACUUCCCAAAUUGUAGUCGCUGUAUUUUGACUACAGCGUGGUGAAACGUUUAGCUAAGGAAACAGAAAAA
rnacentral:lncRNA from 1 species